rnacentral:rRNA from 1 species
AGAGUUUGAUCCUGGCUCAGAAUCAACGCUGGCGGCGUGCCUAACACAUGCAAGUCGCACGAGAAGGGGUAGCAAUACCUGAGUAAAGUGGCGCACGGGUGAGUAACACGUGAAUUAUCUACCUCCGAGUGGGGAAUAACUGAGAGAAAUCUUAGCUAAUACCGCAUAACACUUACGAGUCAAAGCAGCAAUGCGCUUGGAGAGGAGUUCGCGGCCGAUUAGUUAGUUGGCGGGGUAAUGGCCCACCAAGACGAUGAUCGGUAUCCGGCCUGAGAGGGCGCACGGACACACUGGAACUGAAACACGGUCCAGACUCCUACGGGAGGCAGCAGUGGGGAAUUUUGCGCAAUGGGGGAAACCCUGACGCAGCAACGCCGCGUGGAGGAUGAAAUAUCUUGGUAUGUAAACUCCUUUCGAUGGGGAAGAUUAUGACGGUACCCAUAGAAGAAGCCCCGGCUAACUUCGUGCCAGCAGCCGCGGUAAUACGAGGGGGGCAAGCGUUGUUCGGAUUUAUUGGGCGUAAAGGGUGCGUAGGCGGUUUGGCAAGUCUUGUGUGAAAUCUUCGGGCUCAACCCGAAGUCGGCAUAAGAAACUGCCGGGCUUGAGUAUGGGAGAGGUGAGUGGAAUUUCCGGUGUAGCGGUGAAAUGCGUAGAUAUCGGAAGGAACACCUGUGGCGAAAGCGGCUCACUGGACCAUAACUGACGCUGAUGCACGAAAGCUAGGGGAGCAAACAGGAUUAGAUACCCUGGUAGUCCUAGCCCUAAACGAUGAUUGCUUGAUGUGGCAGACCCAAUCCUGCCGUGUCGAAGCUAACGCGAUAAGCAAUCCGCCUGGGGAGUACGGUCGCAAGGCUGAAACUUAAAGGAAUUGACGG